ACGCGCCAGCGGCCAGCAGCAGCCCUGGCGACCACGACUCGGGGUCCAGCUGCUGAAGCGACUGCAGCGACCGCGUCGCCGACACCCGGCAAUCCUGCCUCAAACUUGGGAAGCACAGAGUCCCUGAGUACACUGGCUGAGAAUUUCUGAAGGCCACUUUGCCACCCAGUAGGACAGCAUGUCCAAAGUCAGCGAUCGAGGUAGGAGCAGUUCUUUGCCCAAGAGGUCAUUAACCGAGGAGAGAAUGAACUCCAGAAGGAAUGUCAUCAGUACUCAACAUAUACUCGGAAAUAGCUUGGUGCUGUCAGGAGCAAUUGUUUCUCAAGUCAAUGGAGUACUAAUAAUAAAACAUUUAAAUGUCAUAUUCUGUUGGUCUAUGAAGUGUUUGAAGCUCAAAUAUCUAUGUCUGACUAAUCUCAUAGAUAAGAAACAUGGGUGAUAAUAAUCUGUAAUUCUCAGAAACAUAGUUGUACAAUGGCUGAAGCUUCCCAAAAUAAUUUAAACAAUCCUAAAACCUAUAUGCAGCAAGGACAAUGACCUCAAAUUUGUAACUAUAUACAUAUAUAUAAUUCUCAAAAACAGAGAUAAAACUGAAAUGUCUUGGCUAGAGAUAUAACUGUAAAGUGCAAUAUGAAAAAAUAUCCUAAGUUAUAUCAAUAUACAAAAUGUAUAUACAUCAAGAUAGUUUUAUAUUUGUGUGCAAAACAUUGUAAACAGAAAGAAGACCCUAAACAGUCAACAUACAAGAAUCUAACAAUUUAAGUUAUCUAUAGCUAACAGUUGCUAAAGUUAGUUCACUAGAAAAUGUUAAUCUACCUAUAUUCCAUCCUAACCAUACCUUUCCCAUCCACACCCUUAAACUUACCUAAGAGAGAUACCCGAGUCUGGGCAUCACCUUCCAUACCCAACCCUAAACAACUAAAAACCACCUAAGCAGGUGAAUACCAUCCCUUAAUGCCAACAGUAGGGGAAGGGGGUGUUGUAUUCUUAGGUUUUCUUCCCAUUGAAAUGGGAUGACGAUGACUCCAUGGGAUCCUGUAGGAAAAAAAUUAGAGCAACAAAAAGUUAAUGAAUAGUUUCUCUUACUAGUAACACCAUUUAUUGAUUCUUUUAUACAGUAUAAUGAUAGAGAAACAUACCAUUGGAAUGAAACUGUCAUGUAAAUACCACAGAGCCCACAUGUGAUAGUGUCCUCCCCAUGUUGUGGGGGUAGUCACAGUUGUGUAAGGCUUCCACCACUGAAAGCAGUGUCAUCAUGCUAUGAAUGACAGUACUGGUUUCUGUGAAGACAGCCUGGAGAGAUGUAUGUUGAGUCCCUGACCUUAACAUGAGUUGUCACAUCUGAAGGCUUCUGCUGGCCAAGUUGGCCGUAAGCUGAUGAUGGUGAUGUGAAGGUGUUGGGAGGCUGACCUAAUGCAGGGAGAGGAGGCCCUGGCAGAAGCCCGGUUUCUUAUGAUCACUGAGGCCUAUUUUCUGGCAGUUGGUAAGCCUCUUGGAGACUUGUAAACUGACUGUUUGACCAUGAUUUCCAACAGUAGGAAAUCAUUCUUCCAUUCCCCCAGGGCUGAGGAAGUUCCGUUCAUCUGUGUUCCCCCAGCUCCCCUUGGGAAUGGCAUCGUAAAUCUAUUACAGCUUUAGCAGUUGUUUCUCUGGAUGCUUGAGGGCCUUUGAGGUUCUGCCCCAGGGCUCUGUGAGAUGGGUUUUGUUGGUUCCUCUAAUCUCUUCCCACAGGAAUUUAUGAUCUAUAUAAAGCUCCUGGGUUCCAUCUGCUUCUCAGAGAGUUCAUAUCACAACUAAAGAGUCCCUGGCAGCAUAGAUACCAUGGUGUGGGUAAUGUCAGUCACAGCCUUUUCCUCCGGGCUUUUUGACAAGCUUUGUUGGUCCUACUGAUACACUAUGAAAAUGCAGUGGAGCAGUUAAAAAGGGUAGAGAUGGCAUGCAUGCUUUGCCUACGUGUUUGUGCACAACCUCGGUGCAGUGCUCUCAGAAGCUAAAGAGGGCAUUAGAGCCCGGAAGCCAGAAGAGGGUGUUGUUGCAUGAAAAAUGAAGGACCCAGGGUCAGAUAUUGGGGUUCAAACUUCAAGCUGAAGAGCAGAAGAGCAAAGCAGCCAGUCACUAGCUUUUAUCUCUACCUCAGACUGAAAGGCCAUCUUGGUUCCACCCAACCUUAGACUGCUGCCUCCCUCUCCUCAUCAUGGCUGGAGAAUCCUGAGACUUCAGUGUGUUUCUAUCCUCAGUGUGGCCGGAGAAUGAAUGCCUCAUCGUUUAU